GACGAACGCUGGCGGCGUGCUUAACACAUGCAAGUCGAACGGAAAGGCCCUGCUUUUGUGGGGUGCUCGAGUGGCGAACGGGUGAGUAACACGUGAGUAACCUGCCCUUGACUUUGGGAUAUCUUCAGGAAACUGGGGCUAAUACCGGAUAGGAGCUCCUGCUGCAUGGUGGGGGUUGGAAAGUUUCGGCGGUUGUGGAUAGACUCGCGGCUUAUCAGCUGGUUGGUGUGGUAGUGGCUUACCAAGGCUUUGACGGGUAGCCGGCCUGAGAGGGUGACCGGCCACAUUGGGACUGAGAUACGGACCAGACGGCUACGGGAGGCAGCAGUGGAGAAUAUUACACAGUGGGCGGAAGCGUGAGGCAGCAGCGCCGGGUGCGGGAUGACGGCUUUCGGGUUGUAAACCGCUUUCGCCUGUGACGAAGAGUGAGUGACGGUAAUGGGUAAAGAAGCACCGGCUAACUACGUG
rnacentral:rRNA from 1 species